rnacentral:rRNA from 1 species
GACGAACGCUGGCGGCGUGCUUAACACAUGCAAGUCGAACGGAAAGGCCCUGCUUGCAGGGUACUCGAGUGGCGAACGGGCGAGUAACACGUGGGUGAUCUGCCCUGCACUUCGGGAUAAGCCUGGGAAACUGGGUCUAAUACCGGAUAGGAGCCAUUUUUAGUGUGAUGGUUGGAAAGUUUUUUCGGUGUAGGAUGAGCUCGCGGCCUAUCAGCUUGUUGGUGGGGUAAUGGCCUACCAAGGCGGCGACGGGUAGCCGGCCUGAGAGGGUGGACGGCCACAUUGGGACUGAGAUACGGCCCAGACUCCUACGGGAGGCAGCAGUGGGGAAUAUUGCACAAUGGGCGCAAGCCUGAUGCAGCGACGCCGCGUGGGGGAUGACGGCCUUCGGGUUGUAAACUCCUUUCGCUAGGGACGAAGCUUUUUGUGACGGUACCUAGAUAAGAAGCACCGGCUAACUACGUG